GUGUGUUGUCCAAAAACAAUUAGUUCAUUUAUUUUAAAUGUGUUUAAUCUAGAAUAUAUCGACUGUGUGCAUUAAUGCACUUGGAAUGUGUUUUUCCAAUAAAUUUUCAAUACAGUAUAAUCCAGGACAACUUAUUGUUGACAUUUUUGUCAGUUUUCUACAUAAUAUAUGACAAUAAAAUGUAAUUUAUGAGAGGAGUCUUAGCAUAACAGUAAUGUGUGGUACUUUACAUAAGUGAGAAAGUCAAUUAAACACAUUUAAUUGCAAUCUACACUGAACAAAAAUAUUGACUUUUAGUUGGUUGAAAGAGUAGCGUUUUGUGAACUUACAGAGUAUAACAACACAAAGUUAGAACAACUUCAACUUAAACCGAAAAGUUGAAAUAAAAAUAUACUGUAUAUGAACACGGUGUUUAAUGCGCAUGCGCCAGACGUCAUGAUGACGCACUACUUCCCUAGAGUUUGAAAAAUGCGCUGUUGUGUUUCUGUAAUCGCGAUGCAUGAGGAAAUGAAAACAAGAGAACAAAAGGAGCGCCACGUUUGGCUGUUUGCAGAUGAGUAGUUAUACUGCAAAUAAUUAGUCAAGUAUUUUUUCCUGACUUUCCUGCCUCUUUGGAAAAAAUCCAUUCACAUUAACUGGAGAGCACCGGGACAUUGACAUAAACAGGACUUUCCAACUACUUCAAAACAUUUGGUGACAAAUGAUUUUGGUUUUCUUGUUUCUUUGCCUUUGGAUUUCUUCAUUUUUAUUUUAUUUUUAUUUUUUAGACAAAAUUAUAUUCACUGUAAUGCUGAAGUAAGCAUUUUGUCCUCUUUAAUGUUGGUGCUACGAAAAGGUUUAAGAGCUAAAAUUAACCAGGUUUGUUAACACUUUAAUUAGGUUUCAUUUGUUAAUAUUAGUUUAUGUAUUAGCAAAA